rnacentral:miRNA from 1 species
CACUACAUUAUGGAAUGGAGGGA